rnacentral:rRNA from 1 species
GUCUAUAUGAGAGUUAUAUAAAGUCUGGCCUGCCCAUUGGGAACUAAAAGGCCGCGGUAUUAUGACCGUGCGAAGGUAGCAUAAUCAUUAGUCUUUUAAUUGGAGGCUGGAAUGAAUGGUCGGACGAGAAGUAAGCUGUCUUUAUCCCAUAGAUUGAAUUUAACUUUUAAGUGAAAAGGCUUAAAUGAGUUAGAGGGACGAUAAGACCCUAUAAAGUUUGUACACAGAGUUAAUUAAGAGCGAUUUGGAGUAAUAAAAUUUAUUAUUAGCAAGGUGUUUGGUUGGGGCGACUAGAAUAUAAGUUAUAUAACUGUUUUUUGUUUAAAUCAGAGAUAUCUGUUUAUAUGAUCCCUUUUUAGGAUUAAAGAGUAAAUUACUUUAGGGAUAACAGCGUAAUUUUUUUUGAGAGUUCUUAUCGACAAAAGAGUUUGCGACCUCGAUGUUGAAUUAAAAAUUUCUUUGUGGUGUAGCAGUUACGAGAGAAGGUCUGUUCGACCUUUAAAUUUUUACAUGAUUUGAGUUCAUACCGGCGUGAGCCA